rnacentral:rRNA from 1 species
CGGUGAAAUAGUAGUGGCGGUGUAGAUGCCGCCUACCCGCAGCAAGACGGAAAGACCCUAUGAACCUUUACUGCAGGCUCGUAUUGGUCACGAGCACAGGAUGCGCAGGAUAGGUGGGAGGCUUUGAAGCCGGCGUUUAGGCGUCGGUGGAGCCAACGGUGAGAUACCACCCUUCUUGAGUUUGUGGCCUAACCCCG